rnacentral:rRNA from 1 species
CCCGCGUAACGGGGUAGUGCUGAGCACGCUGUGCAGUAACGCGUGGGAACGUACCCUUUUCUACGGAAUAACGCAUGGAAACGUGUGCUAAUACCGUAUACGCCCUUUGGGGGAAAGAUUUAUCGGAGAAGGAUCGGCCCGCGUUGGAUUAGCUAGUUGGUGGGGUAAAGGCCUACCAAGGCGACGAUCCAUAGCUGGUCUGAGAGGAUGAUCAGCCACAUUGGGACUGAGACACGGCCCAAACUCCUACGGGAGGCAGCAGUGGGGAAUAUUGGACAAUGGGCGCAAGCCUGAUCCAGCCAUGCCGCGUGAGUGAUGAAGGCCCUAGGGUUGUAAAGCUCUUUCACCGGUGAAGAUAAUGACGGUAACCGGAGAAGAAGCCCCGGCUAACUUCGUGCCAGCAGCCGCGGUAAUACGAAGGGGGCUAGCGUUGUUCGGAAUUACUGGGCGUAAAGCGCACGUAGGCGGAUAUUUAAGUCAGGGGUGAAAUCCCGGGGCUCAUCCCCGGAACUGCCUUUGAUACUGGGUAUCUGGAGUAUGGAAGAGGUAAGUGGAAUUCCGAGUGUAGAGGUGAAAUUCGUAGAUAUUCGGAGGAACACCAGUGGCGAAGGCGGCUUACUGGUCCAUUACUGACGCUGAUGUGCGAAAGCGUGGGGAGCAAACAGGAUUAGAUACCCUGGGUAGUCCACGCCGUAAACGAUGAAUGUUAUCCGUCCGGCAUGCAUGC